UGGACGAACCUCUAGUGUACCAGUUGUCUCGCCAGAGGCACCGCUGGGUAGCUAUGUUCGGAAGGGAUAAGCGCUGAAAGCAUCUAAGUGCGAAGCCCACUCCAAGAUAAGGUUUCCCGUGGCUUCGGCCACCUGAAGGCUCCUUGAAGACCACGAGGUCGAUAGGUCGCAGGUGUAAGCACAGCAAUGUGUUCAGCCGAGCGAUACUAAUCAGCCGUGAGGCUUGAUCAUUUU
rnacentral:rRNA from 1 species